rnacentral:rRNA from 1 species
ACGGAGGAUGCGAGCGUUAUCCGGAUUCAUUGGGUUUAAAGGGUGCGUAGGCGGACUAUUAAGUCAGUGGUGAAAUCCUGCAGCUUAACUGCAGAACUGCCAUUGAUACUGAUAGCCUUGAGUUUGGUUAAGGUAGGCGGAAUGCGUGGUGUAGCGGUGAAAUGCGUAGAUAUCGGGAGGAACACCAGUGGCGUAGGCGACCUACUGGGCCUUUACUGACGCUGAGGCGCGAAAGCGUGGGGAGCAAACAG